rnacentral:rRNA from 1 species
AUAAUGGGUCAGCGACUUAUAUUCUGUAGCAAGGUUAACCGAAUAGGGGAGCCGAAGGGAAACCGAGUCUUAACUGGGCGUUAAGUUGCAGGGUAUAGACCCGAAACCCGGUGAUCUAGCCAUGGGCAGGUUGAAGGUUGGGUAACACUAACUGGAGGACCGAACCGACUAAUGUUGAAAAAUUAGCGGAUGACUUGUGGCUGGGGGUGAAAGGCCAAUCAAACCGGGAGAUAGCUGGUUCUCCCCGAAAGCUAUUUAGGUAGCGCCUCGUGAAUUCAUCUCCGGGGGUAGAGCACUGUUUCGGCAAGGGGGUCAUCCCGACUUACCAACCCGAUGCAAACUGCGAAUACCGGAGAAUGUUAUCACGGGAGACACACGGCGGGUGCUAACGUCCGUCGUGAAGAGGGAAACAACCCAGACCGCCAGCUAAGGUCCCAAAGUCAUGGUUAAGUGGGAAACGAUGUGGGAAGGCCCAGACAGCCAGGAUGUUGGCUUAGAAGCAGCCAUCAUUUAAAGAAAGCGUAAUAGCUCACUGGUCGAGUCGGCCUGCGCGGAAGAUGUAACGGGGCUAAACCAUGCACCGAAGCUGCGGCAGCGACGCUUAUGCGUUGUUGGGUAGGGGAGCGUUCUGUAAGCCUUUGAAGGUGUACUGUGAGGUAUGCUGGAGGUAUCAGAAGUGCGAAUGCUGACAUAAGUAACGAUAAAGCGGGUGAAAAGCCCGCUCGCCGGAAGACCAAGGGUUCCUGUCCAACGUUAAUCGGGGCAGGGUGAGUCGACCCCUAAGGCGAGGCCGAAAGGCGUAGUCGAUGGGAAACAGGUUAAUAUUCCUGUACUUGGUGUUACUGCGAAGGGGGGACGGAGAAGGCUAUGUUGGCCGGGCGACGGUUGUCCCGGUUUAAGCGUGUAGGCUGGUUUUCCAGGCAAAUCCGGAAAAUCAAGGCUGAGGCGUGAUGACGAGGCACUACGGUGCUGAAGCAACAAAUGCCCUGCUUCCAGGAAAAGCCUCUAAGCAUCAGGUAACAUCAAAUCGUACCCCAAACCGACACAGGUGGUCAGGUAGAGAAUACCAAGGCGCUUGAGAGAACUCGGGUGAAGGAACUAGGCAAAAUGGUGCCGUAACUUCGGGAGAAGG